rnacentral:lncRNA from 1 species
ACAUAAACAAUAGGGCAGAGGAAGCAAUCGGAUAGGCAUUUGCUUCAGGUGAGCAGAGGGAUGACUUUCUGUCCCACAUCUGUGAAGAUCAGCUGUUGGUUUACAUUGCCAGGGUGAAAUUCAACAGAACUAAUUUAGGGUGAAGAUCUUGAGGCCCACAAGGAAUUUCCUUGUGGGAAAAUUGUGAGGAAGAGCAAUCACUGCACCCAGCCACCUCUAUAUACAUGUACACAAAGCCACACAGUUUACACAGUCACAGGUAUUUAAGUACACACUAUUCACACACAAAUACAUAUAUAGACACACAUGUACAGUCCGUCCAAAAUAUAUGUACAUAAAAGCACACUAUUACACCUUCAUAUGUGCACACACACACACACCCAGACUCACUUCAUACACACAUAGAUACAACAGCCACAGCUCCCCAUCACCUACACACACACACACACACCUGGACACCCAGCUCUAAUAUAAUCAGAUAGAGAUAUGCAUGCAGACAAAUUUGCCUGUAUAGUCAAACACAUAGGCAAAUAGAGAACGAGACACCACAUGAACAAAGGCAAACCUACACACAAAGACACAGAGCACACUUACGCAUAUAUCUAUAGACCCACCAUGGCACAUAUGGGUAAGUGCACACAGGCAAACUCACACACACGAGCAUGCACAGGCAGAGAACACAAAUGUACACUCCCAGGUGUCAUAAAGAACAGCCCAGCUUCGGCUUGGGAACGUCACAUCAGACAAUAGGAACGGCUGCACCGCGCGUUUCCUCGGCUGCCAGCUUCCCAGCCACAGAGGAUGCCUCACCUGCUAUGUCAGCUCCCCUCUGCCCCACCUCACAAGAAGCUCAGAAGCUGAGGAGUCACAGAGAGACCUCCCUACUGUGUCAGAGGUACAGCUUGAGCAAAGACACAGAAGCAGAAGGCAGGUUUUUGGUUCCAUGAACUCUACAUCUGGCUACAUACAAAUGGUGAAGAGGAACAGGGAGAAACAUGGUUGAAAAGAACAGGCUUGGACUUCAGGAAGCAGUAAAAUGAGCGAAUGCCAUUUAUGGUUACAAAGAUAACUCAGCUGGGGGCCAAACAGAGACUGAAAUGGAGUGGGUGAGGAUGGAGGCCGGGAGGAGAUGGCUGCAGAGGUCCCAGCAAUGACAGUGGUUGUGGGAAGGGGCAACCCCAAGUCUUGUGCUCCCAACUGCAAAUCCAGUGCUUUUUCUAAAAAAAUAUUUAAAUAAUUUAUUUAUUUUUGAGAUGGAGUCUCGCUCUGUCACCCAGGCUGGAGUGCAGUGACACAAUGUCGGCUCGUGCAACCUCUGCCCCCCGGGUUCAAGCGAUUCUCCUGCCUCAGCCUCCCAAGUAGCUGGGAUUACAGACGCACGCCUCCACGCCUGGCUAAUUUUUUAUAUUUUUGGUAGAGAUGGGGUUUCACCAUGUUGCCCAGGCUGGUCUCGAACUCCUGACUUCAAGUGAUCCACCCACCUCGGCCUCCCAAAGUAC